CAAAAACUCAGAUAAUAACAAGCAUUGGGAGGAUGUGGGAAUAUUGGUAUCCUGAUACACUGCUGAGGAUAUAGAAUGAUUCAGCCAUUUAGGGGAAAAGUGUGGUAGGUCCUGAAACAAUUAAGUAUAUAAAUAGCAUAUGAUCCAGCAAUUUCACUAUUAGCAAAAUAAAAUUACAGGUCCACCCAAAAACUGGUAUACGAAUGUUCACAAUAGCUUUGUCAAAAUAGCCCAAAGGGGACAACUCAAAUGUCCCUCAGUGGAUGAAUAGAUCAUCAAAAUCUGAUCUAUCUGAACAACACGGUAUUAUUCAGUUAUAAAAGAAGUGUUGCUACAUGCUAAAACUUGAAUGAAACCUUGAAAGCAUUAUUCUGUGUGAAUGAAACCAGUCAUAAAAGUCUGCAUAUUAUAUCAUUUCCUUCAUUUAAAAGUUUAAAACAGGGAACUCUAUAAAAAAGUAGAUUAAUAAAUGCUUGGGGUUGAAGCUAGGAGAAAUGGGACAAUAGUGGGAUUAUAGAUAAAGGAUAAUGUUUCUUCUUAAGGUAAUGGGAAUAUUCUAAAAUUGAAUGAUUAUGGAAGUACAACAAUGUGAAUACAUUAAG
rnacentral:lncRNA from 1 species